CGCCGAUCCCCGGACGCGCGGCCCCCCCACCCGCGGCCCCGCGCGCCUCUCCCUGACACCACCCUCCGCGGCCCCCUCCGGACCCUCUGGCCCCCAAGACGCCCCUCCGGCCCUCCCCUAGGAGAGGGGGCCCUCGCCAAGUCUCCGCCUUCCUGCCCUCCUCCUGUCAAUGCCGCUGUCCAGAGCUCGCAGCCCUGGGAACGCCACUCCAGCGGGGCCUCCUUCUCCUGGGACCCCCUGGGCCCCACCCCCAGGACCUCCCACCUCUGCAAACCCCGAGUUUGCUUUUCCCAUCCACCGGGCAGCUCUUCUCCACGCCCACCUGGCUGGACCCGGGAAACCGAAGAAGUUAGUGGGGGUUCACCAGUAGGAAUCGGUAUGAGGGAGAGCCUGGAGGAGGAAAUGGGGAAAGGGGAAAUGUUCAGAAGGAAUGGAGGACAGCGAGCAGGGUAUUCGGGGAUGGAGGACCAAGUGUGUUUCUUUGGGAAGUGCUGGCAUGUAGGGGUGUGUGCUGUGUACCUGUGUGAAGGAUGUACGCAGAAUGUAGAGUAUGGGGUACGUGAGGGUGGUGUGUACGUAUGUGUCCUGUGGCGGGGAGCGGUGUGCAUUCCGAGAUGUGCGCAGGGUGAACACAGUGUACGUGCAAUGUCCAGGCGUGUGGUGUGCAAGUGUGUGUCUGUGUGUUAUGUGGUGAAUGUGCAGGAAAGGUGUCGCCUUGAGGUGUGGGUAGAGUAUUGUAGGUGCUGGGGGGUUAUGAAUAGGGUAUGCGGGAGAACUGGCUAGAGAUUUCUCUCAGAGGACCAGCCAUGGAGAAGGCCAGGAUGAAGUCUUGGGGAGAACCUCGGGUGAGUUCAGCUCUGAGUCCAUUUCCGUUUUCAGAUCUGGCAGACAAAUCCCUCACACUCAGGUAAAUAAAUUCGGCCUGUGCUCGAGUGCACGAGAAGGGAGAACGUUGUAGUAGCCCAGAUCUGGACUUGGACCACUGGAGGCCUCCCUCUGGCAACCCCGCCCUGGCCUGCAGUCCGGGGUGUGGGUGAUUCAGGCCGCCUGCGCAGCAGCUUCGGAACCGCGGGUUGCCUUGGCUGCGCCUUUAGCUGGGGCUGGGAGAAGCCGGGUCCGAGAGUCGGGAAGAGGGAGAGGUGGAGAGAAUGCGCCUGCGCACGAGUCUUUCCCACAGCAGGUUCAAGUCAGGAAAAGGCCUAGGGACUUUCCUAUUUUUUGCCCUUUAAAGUCAGAGACCCUUCCAAAACUGAGCGCUGUAUUGCCUGGGGAAGCCGCGCCUAUGUGUCCGAGGCAGCUCUGGGGUUCUUGCCCACCCUUCCGGGAAGCCGAUUGCUAGUGGGUGUAUGGAGGCUUUCCAAAGACUCCCGGAGGUUUGCGUGGGUUUCACUUCGGGCCAUAGCUUCAGAAAGAGCGAGCCUGCCUCUCUGUAUUUUUAGCAGGAGGAGCAGAAUUUGAAACAGCAGCAUACCGGUCCUGCGCCUGGUGAAGGAUGACUCGCCAGAAAGCAAAGGCACAGCCCUACCUCCGCGAGCUUGGCGCGUGGCCCAGGAGGCUCCGCGAGCCCUCGUACGUAAGGAUCGCGGCGCCCACGCUUGAGAGCAGAGCUCAGUGCAAACUUCCAACGGUUCUUCCAGUUUCCAGGGAAACGAGAUCUGGAGCUGCUGUGCGUUGCAGAGCUGCCUCUCUGCAACCCACAUGGGACCCCUGUGGCUGGCUGGUCUUGGGGAAGAAGGAGUUGAAGCCACCACAUCCAUGAAGGUUUUGUCUGGAGCCUGUCUGAUCCGAUGCAUUCAGUACUGAAAGCUUUCAGGAACAUUCUUUUACUCACUUCUCAGGACAACCGGUGAGGUAGGUCCCCUGUUAUCCCCAGUAGGACUUUUCAUUAGUAAAUUAGUGACUGGAAUUGGGACAGAAACCCACACUCUGUGACCAGGCUAUGCUCCCCCCACCCCCGAUGCCUUCCUGAUUCCAACCCCUGCAGAGGAUCCUCAAGGUGCAGGAUUUCCCUGGAGUACAAAUAGGUCUUUUCUAUCAGGUCGGAUUGGAAAUGGCCAGGUCAGGAGAAUUCCAACUAUUUCUGGGGCUAGCUGAGUAUGUACGUGUCUGUGGUGCCAAAAAAAAAAAUAAAUAAAAAUCUAGUUCUUUGGAGAGUAUGGUGGCAGGAGCCUGCAAACACGGAGAGGGGAACUCACUGAGAAGGGUCUUUAAGCCGAAGCAAUUCAAUUUUAUUCUGAGGGCAGGAACACAGAGAUUUCAGGCGAGCAUCCUGGCGUGUGCUGAGAAGGAGCUCUGCUGCCUGGGAUCUAGGGGAGCGAAAGGAGCUUUCUCUCUGCUUGCAGUGUAAAAUCCCAGGUACAGGGAAUCACCCUGCAGCUUCUGCUCAGCAGUCUUUCUAAAAGGACUGGGAGUUAGCGGAGAGUGGGAGGGGCAAUCUGUGGUCCCGCGACAGCGAAACCGGGGAUGACAUUGAAGCUAACCCAGGUAGGAUUUUAGAGCAGAUUGAAUUGCUUUAUUUCAGGAUCCUUUCACCGAGGAAGAGCUCAUCAUGCUCUGUUGUGAGCCAUCCUCAACUUCCACUUGCAGAGUCUGCUUAACCUUCCAUGCAUGCCAAGGAGGGGACCCAGGGUAGCUGCGGUCUAGUCACGUGACCUGGAGGGUCAGAGGCAGGAAGGAGAGCAACUCCAGAAAGAACCACACCGAGAGUCAGAGAGCAUGAUUCUCCCUACCUGGCUUCUUUUGUUCCAUAAAUAAUGUUUGUGGAGCGUGUCCACGAUGCUGCGCACAGCCCUGGCUCACUCAUGGCUGGUAAUGAAACCCUGCAGCUGACCAGUUUCACUGCAGUAAGCAACACAUUGCUUCUUGUUUGGGAAUGGUGUGUCGGGAAUCAUUGAGACACGCAGCUGAGUAACCCUGUCUGAUUAAUACUGUCUUUACUUCUAUUUCCCCCUCUUUGCAUCGAGGUGCAAUUUAUGUACAAUAAGAAUCAUUGAUUUUAACUGUAUGAUUCCACGAGUUUGGACAGCUGCAUACAUUAUACGGACGACCCACUCAUGACUCAAUGCUGGUCCAACUCCUGCAAAUGCUAAGCUCAGCUUUUCCCGACUCCCACCUCGUGCAGUAUACAGGAUUUCCUGUGCAUGGGCAACCUUUUCUGUCUGGCUUCAGUGCCUUUCAGAUUCGUCCAAACUCUCACAUGAAUCGAUUGGUUGUGCUUAUUGCUGAAUAGAAUUCUAGUAAAAAGUGUUUAUCCAUUCACGGCAUGGUGGGCAUUCUGGCUGUCUCUGACGGGGUGACUGACCUGUAUUCAACCGUGGUACCAUGCAGGUUUAAGUCGAUAUGAGCGUGCUUCCAACUCCUUAGGUGUGUGGUAGGAGUGUGAUUGCUGGGCUGCAUCACCACACAUUUACAGUUAUCCUUAAAGAAAACAGAAGAUCAUUAACUAGAAUCAUUUUCCGCCCCCAUCCCCCCGUGCCGUAUGUGUAUACUCCUGGGUUGUGUUUUUAGCAACACAAGGUGUGUCAGCUUCCCUAGCAUGUUGGCCAGCCUGGCGUCCAUAGAUGGAUUCUCAUGGUGGCUUUAAUUUGCAUUGCCUGGUUUUGAAUGCUAUCAACACUUUCACUUAUCUUCAGUAAUGCGCGGGCGCGCGCGCGCGCGCGCACACACACACACACACACACACACACACACACACACACACUUGGUUAGCUUUUUCGAAAAUUACGUGGUCUCUAAGUCUCUAUCAUUUUAUCAACAGUGAAUAGAAGCGUGACUGGAAAUGUGGCGUACGUUGGCCCUGUGGAUUCUCCUGUAAUAGCCCAAGCACAUAUUAUACCUCUUUCAGCUGAUCCCUCGAAAACUCAUCACUACUCAACCUGGUCUCCUCUGGAGUCUAAAUGAAGCACUUAAUGGGAAUCCACCUAAGCCUCCUCUGGCUUCUGUUUAUGACAGUAAAGAGUCCAGGUAAGUCAUGUCAGGGGUAGACAGAGCUGCCAGCUGCCCAUGUCUUAGCGAGAUCAGUGAGCUAUAUCUCCCAAGAGAGAAUUGUCAUUCUGCCUCUCUGCCAUGAGGACACUGCUGGACCACCUCUGCAGGAGCUUGCACUGAUGCUGUGCUAGAAAGAACAAAGACCCUUCUCUGCUUUGGUUUCCUUUAGAAAUGGUUCUGGCUCUGUCUCCCACAUACUCCAGCCUCCCACCACUCCAACUGGGGUGAACUUUCCUUCUACCUGUGGAACACAUCAAAUGGAGUUCUUGUGUUUCCUGUGUUCAUUUUCUCGUCUGAAAUCAUGCUGUUGCUGCUGUCUACCACACUAUGUCCUUGUAUUCCUAGACCUCCAAAACCAGGGCUGGACAGUCCAGGUGGAGCCUUUCUUCCUUAGCAGACGUAAGUAGACACAACCAUCCUGUAGGGCGAACAAGAGCUUGGUGGCUGGACAACCACUUCAGAUUUUCAAAUACACCCUCACAGAGAUGCUCAGGGAUGCUCACUGAAGUUUCAUCUGAGGCAGGGAGUCACAAGAAAGCAGAGAAGGAUGACCCCUGCCAAAACCAUGUUAGAGCAAAGGUGGCAGGGUCUCCCUUCCCUUGAAAUAACUCAAAUGCUGGACAGAGGACAGAAAGCAUGGUUUUCAAAUGCUAAUCAUGAAACAAGGCAAGACUGUGACAGAGAAUCAAAGAAAGCCUCCAGUGCCUCGUGUAACAGCUUAAGAGUUGCCAGCAAUGGUGCCAGCCGAGGAGCCCAGGCAGACUCAAAGAACUUCCCUGGGUUUAAGAGACAUGCUUGUGCUCAAGGGACCAAACUAAAUGUAUACAGGUUUGAUUUUUGUCAAUUAUGCUUCAAUAUAACUAUAAAAACUGGGGUAAAAGCACACUGUAAAAUACUGUCAAUCAGAAGUAACAAAGCUGUAUCUAAUACAUAACUCUAAGUGAGUAAAGAAUCAAUAUUGUCCAACCA
rnacentral:sRNA from 1 species